UUCCGGUUGAUCCUGCCGGCGGUCACCGCUCUUGGAAUCCGAUUAAGCCAUGUGAGUCGAGAGGGUUCGGCCCUCGGCAAACUGCUCAGUAACACGUGGAUAACCUAACCUAAGGUGGGAGAUAAUCUCGGAAAACUGAGGCUAAUACCCCAUAGACCUUGAUGACUGGAAUGUUUUGAGGUUGAAAGUUACGACGCCUUAAGGAUGGGUCUGCGGCCUAUCAGGUUGUAGUUAGUGUAAAGGACUAACCUAGCCGACGACGGGUACGGGCCAUGGGAGUGGUUGCCCGGAGAUGGACUCUGAGACACGAGUCCAGGCCCUACGGGGCGCAGCAGGCGCGAAAACUUUGCAAUGCGCGAAAGCGCGACAAGGGGAUUCCAAGUGCAUGCACUUAAGUGUAUGCUUUUCGUGAGUGUAAAAAGCUCACGGAAUAAGGGCUGGGUAAGACUGGUGCCAGCCGCCGCGGUAAUACCAGCGGCCCUAGUGGUGAUCGUUUUUAUUGGGCCUAAAGCGUCCGUAGCCGGUUCGGUAAAUCUCUGGGUAAAUCGUUGGACUUAACCCAACGAAUUCUGGGGAGACUGCCGAACUUGGGACCGGGAGAGGUCGGGAGGUACUCCAGGGGUAGGGGCUAAAUCCUGUAAUCCUUGGGGGACCACCAGUGGCGAAGGCGUCUGACUAGAACGGAUCCGACGGUAAGGGACGAAACCCUGGGGGCGCGAACCGGAAUUAGAUACCCGGGGUAGUCCAGGGCGUAAACGCUGCAGGCUUGGUGUUGGGGACCCCACGAGGGUGCCCAGUGCCGGAGUGAAGAUGUUAAGCCUGCCGCUUGGGGAGUAC
rnacentral:rRNA from 1 species